UGGGGAAUAUUGGACAAUGGGCGCAAGCCUGAUCCAGCCAUGCCGCGUGAGUGAUGAAGGCCCUCGGGUUGUAAAGCUCUUUCACCGGUGAAGAUAAUGACGGUAACCGGAGAAGAAGCCCCGGCUAACUUCGUGCCAGCAGCCGCGGUAAUACGAAGGGGGCUAGCGUUGUUCGGAUUUACUGGGCGUAAAGCGCACGUAGGCGGACUUUUAAGUCAGGGGUGAAAUCCCGGGGCUCAACCCCGGAACUGCCUUUGAUACUGGAAGUCUUGAGUAUGGUAGAGGUGAGUGGAAUUCCGAGUGUAGAGGUGAAAUUCGUAGAUAGUCGGAGGAACACCAGUGGCGAAGGCGGCUCACUGGACCAUUACUGACGCUGAGGUGCGAAAGCGUGGGGAGCAAACAGG
rnacentral:rRNA from 1 species